UCCUAAAUAUCUGGGAUAAAAAACAAAGGGUAAAAAUGGGGAAUGCUUUCAAGAAGUUUAUAUUGAAGCAUUAAGUUAAGUAAGGUAUCUUACCUAUUUUAUCCCACCUCCCCUUUUUUCUUUCUUCUGUGUGGAAGCUCACAGUGAUCUAAACAUGGAGGUAUUGUAUAGAAUGAAACACUCCCAAAUUAAGUCACAUUUAUGUGCAAGAGCUUUACCAAAAGCUUAAUUUAUUGAGAUUUAUGCUCACUCUGCAGGCCUAUGGAGUCAAGAAUAAAGUAACCUUGAAUACGAAAUAAAUUAUUUUAUCAGGGGCACCCAGAUAAUUAAUCAAAAGUACGCAUGUUAAAUUGUGUUUCCAACGUCUCCCCACAGAUAAUAUUUGGGAAGCAACAAAGGCCUUGCAGAUUCUCUUUUAAUUGAGGAGAAACAAGUGCUUAGUCUGUCCAGACACUGGGCUUUGCUCAUUUGAUAAUCAAUAUCAGACUGCUAAUUGUGCUUUCCUACGCAAUCAGCUAGAUGCUGUGAAGCCUCAAGAUACUUCUCAUUAGGAAGUCAGUCAUAGAAAGCCUGCUUUCGGGAUGCCCGAAGGCGAAGGGUCUGAAUCCGUAUGUAGAGUAGGAGACGUCGUGUAGUAACACGUCCAGUCUUCCACGCCUAUGUUUCUGCUGAAGCCGAGUGACGGUUAUCGACUGCGUUCACUGCCCUGUUCGCCAGUCUACAACACGAGGCUGAUCUCUCGGUGAGUAACGGUGAAGGCUUUUCAAAGCGAUUCUUCUCUGCAUUGGAAGGUGUCAAGGCCACGUCCAACAUUGAAGUAAACAUUCUAGUGGGUUGUGAUGGACAUUGGACGGGUGGAAACAGUAAAGAAAAAACAGGCAUCGGAAGUGGCAGCAGAGAAGCGACCAGAGGCAGCUCUAGGAGAGGAGGGAGGAGACAAUAAGCGCUGCAUUCUUUCAGCGAUGGUCAAGAGAACAAAAGAGGAGCUAGGACUGGAGACUCCAUUCUCAGGGACACUGAAGCGGCCUCUGUGGACUGGAAUGUUGCUGAGAGAAGGCAUGGGAUACCCACAUACUGGGAUAAAGAGGGAUACUCCAAAAGCUCUGUCUGACAGCAAGAUGAGGAAGCAGAUAUAAUCAGGCCAAUAUUUUAAAAAUUAAGACAAGUGAGUAGUGACCGAGGCCCAGUACCUCUCCAUGAUAAACACCGGAGGCGCUAGACCAAGAUAAUUCCAAAAGCAAUUAUAGCACUUUUUGGAUUUGUAAAUUGCUCUACUGGGUACAAAUUUAAGAUCCUGACC
rnacentral:lncRNA from 1 species